UACGGGGGGGUAAGCGUUGUUCGGAAUUAUUGGGCGUAAAGAGCUCGUAGGCGGUUUGUCGCGUCUGCUGUGAAAACUCGGGGCUUAACUCCGGGCCUGCAGUGGGUACGGGCAGACUAGAGUGCGGUAGGGGAGACUGGAAUUCCUGGUGUAGCGGUGAAAUGCGCAGAUAUCAGGAGGAACACCGGUGGCGAAGGCGGGUCUCUGGGCCGUAACUGACGCUGAGGAGCGAAAGCGUGGGGAGCGAACAGG
rnacentral:rRNA from 1 species